AUUCGACUGCUAAAGCAAAUCAGGCUUUCUGUGAACAUAACUCCUUGUUAACUUUUGCCUUUUGGGAUGGGAUAAAAAUUUUCCACCUAUUCGGAUUUCCUUCAACACCUUAAUUCCCCACCCCCAACAUCCCUCAUCUCUUCAUUAUAAAGCUAUUCAGUUUCUUUCUCUGUUUUGGUUUUUAUGUAGAUCUCUUUGUGGGAAGGCUUUGGCAAAGAUAACCGCAAGCUGAAAGAAUAUGAGUCGUCAUCACCACCACCACCACCACCACCACGGAGACAGUCCUUACGAUGAUCCAUUCUUGAGGUGCUGUUGCUGCCCAUGUUUUAUAAUGUCUUCCAUUUUCAGGGGCCUUGGCAGAUGCAUAUUUGUUGCUUGUUAUCCCGUUCUCCACUGCUUUGGAUUCGACGAUGAUUGGGCUCACCGCCAUCAUCACCGUCACAGGCACUUCCCCUGAAUUCAUGUUUCUCUAUUUUCAGUUUUAAGAUAUGAAUGACCACAAGAUGAAAGACAGUGGCUUUUGGCAUUUGCUAAUAAAUAAGAUCGUACUCCAAAUGUUUAUUGCUGGUGGGCUCAAGGACGGCUUUUUUGUCCUCUUUCAUUUUGAGGUGUCAAUCUCGCUGGUUUGAUAUGGACCAUGGACUAUGGACAAUGGACGUGUUUUCUUAGGUUUUUUUUUUUUUUAAAGUUUUAGGAUUAUUUUUGUUUUUUAAUCUAUUUAGGCUAUCAUAAAUAUUCAUUUUUUUCUUAGUACCUUUAUUUCCAAUAUAUUUUACAAGAUAAUUAAUGCUUGCAAUCAAGUAUCA